ACUCCUACGGGAGGCAGCAGUGGGGAAUAUUGCACAAUGGGCGCAAGCCUGAUGCAGCCAUGCCGCGUGUGUGAAGAAGGCCUUCGGGUUGUAAAGCACUUUCAGUCGUGAGGAAGGUAGUGUAGUUAAUAGCUGCAUUAUUUGACGUUAGCGACAGAAGAAGCACCGGCUAACUCCGUGCCAGCAGCCGCGGUAAUACGGAGGGUGCGAGCGUUAAUCGGAAUUACUGGGCGUAAAGCGCAUGCAGGUGGUUUGUUAAGUCAGAUGUGAAAGCCCGGGGCUCAACCUCGGAAUAGCAUUUGAAACUGGCAGACUAGAGUACUGUAGAGGGGGUAGAAUUUCAGGUGUAGCGGUGAAAUGCGUAGAGAUCUGAAGGAUACCGGUGGCGAAGGCGGCCCCUGGACAGAUACUGACACUCAGAUGCGAAAGCGUGGGAGCAAACAGGAUUAGAUACCCCGU
rnacentral:rRNA from 1 species